rnacentral:rRNA from 1 species
CCUACAGGUGGCUGCAGUGGGGAAUAUUGGACAAUGGGGGCAACCCUGAUCCAGCCAUGCCGCGUGUGUGAAGAAGGCCCUCGGGUUGUAAAGCACUUUCAGUGAGGAAGAACGCCUGGUGGUUAAUACCCAUCAGGAAAGACAUCACUCACAGAAGAAGCACCGGCUAACUCCGUGCCAGCAGCCGCGGUAAUACGGAGGGUGCGAGCGUUAAUCGGAAUUACUGGGCGUAAAGCGCGCGUAGGUGGCUUGAUAAGCCGGUUGUGAAAGCCCCGGGCUCAACCUGGGAACGGCAUCCGGAACUGGCAAGCUAGAGUGCAGGAGAGGAAGGUAGAAUUCCCGGUGUAGCGGUGAAAUGCGUAGAGAUCGGGAGGAAUACCAGUGGCGAAGGCGGCCUUCUGGACUGACACUGACACUGAGGUGCGAAAGCGUGGGUAGCAAACAGGAUUAGAUACCCCUGUAGUC